UUGUUAAUCGAAGAAUGGUGAAGGAUACGUUGUUCUCGCCGUUACGAUCUGUAUCGUUGGUGGCGGAUGACUCUGGUGCAACGCCGGAGAUUUUUGAUCAGUUAAACAAUUUGAUUACGCAGAUCACGUGUUCGUCUUCCUCUGACUGAGUCAACUCGCGAUUCGUCGGGACGAGUCAUAUAGAGCACUUGUUUUCUCAAACUUUUCGUAAUCAGCAGGAAAUCGGUUUCUCAUCUGGAACCUAGCCGUAGUGGAAACAUGUUAGGGAUUCAGGGAAACCGAUGGUGCAAAGAAAGGAGAUUCCAAUUUCUAUGGAGUUUAUCCGUAUGGUUGGAUUGCGAGUGUGAAAGUGUGGAGCGAUAUUUUUGACUUGAAAGAGCUUCACAGAGACUGAGAAAUUGGAUUUGGUUUCUGCUAGUUUAACGAGUGUUGUUUUGGAAUGGUACCAUUGGGAGAUAAAUAGGUUGCCAUUUUAGAAUUGGCUUCAUUUUAAAGAUAGAUUGCUUUUCAGAUUUGGUAAUGUGAGAGUUACAGGUCCAAGUCGGAGCUUAUUUUGCAUUAAACAGAAGGGUGCACUUGCUGAGUAUGUGCAAAGAUUUGAAAAAUCAUCUGCUCAACGGUUUAGAUGAUCGUAAGCUUCAAGGGAUUUUUCUGUGUGGGUUAACUCAAGAAAUGCAGGAAAAGGUGCAUGGGAUGAAGCCUCAGAACUUACCACAGAUGAUUGGUAAUUGACUCAAUUCCGGAACCAGCAUCGUGGCAGAGCAAGGAUUCAUUUUUGGUGAUAGAACUAAGCCACCAGCAGGAAUUGCUUCCAGCAGGGAGAUGGCUUUAAUCAAAGAGAGUUCUGGAAGCUAUGAGAUAUUGCUUAUAAACUCUCCGGAUUAAGCAGAGAAACAAUGUCUUGUUGGAUUGGUUGUAUCAUCAAUCAACAAGUGUCACUGAUAAAAGGAAACCAAGAAAGUAUUCAAGGCUUGGAAAUAUUAGCAAAGAUAGCAAACCCGUUAGUUUUUGUUCUCAUGCUAAGUUGGAUUAGUGAGGAAGAGGAGAAGAUUUCGGAGCCUCAGACUGCAGAAGCAAGCUCACAUGGCAAGGGUGUUGUGUAACAUGAGGAUGAUGCAUGCUUCAUGAGACAUGAAAAGAGGGACUUAUACAUGGUAUAUUAAGCCCAUGUUCUUGUGGGAAAGAGAAUCGAGAGAAAGGAAUGCCAUUUCACAAGAGGAGUCAACAUUUCACCAUAUUUUAUACGUUUUCCUUAACCAGAAGGAGCUGCAGGUCACUCAAUUUCACAUGACAUUGGACAAGGGCACUCUUGUUUUGCUGGUUCAACGAGUGUUUCAUAAACUGACAACCUCAUUAUAUGACUCUUUUGAGGUUUUGAAACCUAGAAGACCUGUGGUUUACCAUCUGCGUUCACUUCAAGAUGUCAAUAUUCAACUCAUCAACCUAUCUUUCACAUCUCUCAGUUACACCAUUUGCUGGAUUCUGUUUGGGCGAAGAAGUUUGUGAGUUGGUUGAAUGUUGUUUGCGUGUUAACGGAACUUAUGCGACACAGAGUGGCAGUGAAUGUCGCAAAGUUACAGCUAGCUCUACAAGGGAGAGACUUGAUGUUGUUAAAAGUCAAUACUCAAUUGAAAAGGGUUCAACACAUUAUGCAGCUGACAGCUGCUACACCAAGCCUAGAAAUGGCGUAUACAAUGGGUACAAAACUAGAAAGUGACGUCAUAUUGUUUCAGAUCACAAAACUUUUCUACCAUUGCAUAUUCGCAAGGACUGGCAGAAUUAGAAAUUUGGGCAUUUGAUUCCUUAAAGUAUCGAGAUCGUGGAUCAGCGCACAAUGAUGCUUGGCACAAUCAUGGCCAUGGGAAGGCUUAACGGACCACUCAUUACGGUUUAUGGUGGAACCUUAACAAGUGUUAUGGAGAAUUUGUGGAACCUUUUCCGGCUAUGACAACUAGCUUUUCCGGCUUUGGUGUUAAACCUAUCUAGUGCUUUGUCUAUAUAGAAAAGUCAGGCUUUUCCUGUGCCAACUAGGUAAUUGGUAGCUAGCCUCCACAGAGGCAUUAAACUUCAAAGAGUACUGUGCAGUAAAUACCAAAGUACAGCUCAAAGACGAUCGACAUUCACGUCAUCCUAUAGAGCUCUAGAAUGCAAGUCUUCAACCACUCAACGUAAGGGUGAUGUAGGUGUGCAUACUUAUCCCCAAGCUGAUAUGAUAGCGAUGAGAACCCAAAAGUAGUACUGUGUAGUUAAUGCAAAUGUAUAGCAGAAUGUGUUGCCCAAGAAACAAGUGAAACUUCAAAUCUCGAGUUAGUAGUUGUUGACAAGUCACAAGUUACAGAAAAGUCCAAUUUCCAAGUUCCUAAAGCAGUGGAAAAUGUUCGUGCAGGGUCUAUCAGAAGAGAAAUGGCUCUGGAAGAGUUCUGCGCAUAAGCAAGCCUCUGAAAAUAUCACAGCUUAAUCGGCUGGUUGCAAUAAUACAAACAUGAGAGAGAUAGAGUGUGCAGCAAUGCCAGCAUAGGACAAAGAAAGGCCUAGAAGGGGACACAAUAAUUUCCUGGAUGAAGAAAUUGCAUCUCUCAUGCAUGAGCACAAGCUUUUUGAAGGACAUGUAUAGGAACCACCUUGAAGUGCUGCAGACGAAGAUCAAGUUGUUAAGAGUAGCAGGCAUCAUGGCAAUGGGAAGGCUUAACAGAGCAGGCAUCAUGGUUUAUGGUGGAACCAGCAAGGUACUCUCAAGUAUCAACCUAUCAAGAGCAGGAUACUUAGUACCAUUUUGAGUCAGCGGAUGAGAGUCCUGAGAAGACAGUAGAACAAAAAGACUUUGUUGGGCUAAAGCAGAGAGCAACUGGAUCUCUGUUGUUGAGGAAUUAAGAACUGUGCUUGAUACCAAUAGGAUGCUAAUGGAAAAGCAGAAACGUCAAUUGGGUACUGAGAAAAGAUGUGAGAAAGAGUUGAGGGAAGCAAGCAGAUGGAGAGGCAUGGGCAUACACGAAUGAUUGCACAACAUGCAGACCUGGAAGAGAAGCAUAUUCAAUUGCUUGUACGGCAUAGACGAUGUUGAAAAAGCAGCAGCCAGAGUAGGAGUCAAAGGACCAGAGUUAAGAUUCAUAAACACUUGCAACAGAAACUUCAGCUUAGAAGGUGCAAGCAAAGAGAGAAGGACUGAGAACAAGAGUCUCCAGUCACAACUAAGAGACACAGCUGAAGAUGUUCAAGCAGCAGGAGAGUUGCUUGUUCGACUUAAAGAAGCUGAAGAAUGAUUGAAAAUUGCAGAGCUACAUAUGACGUUACAUUUCUGUUAUACAAGUGUGAGAUAUCAAAGUCAUCAUCAUUUGAUCCAAAAUCUUGUAAUCAAUUUAUCAAUUUAAACAAUUUGUAAACAAGGGAUUUUCUACAAGUGAGUACUCUUUUGCUUCACUUCA